rnacentral:rRNA from 1 species
UACGUAGGGUGCAAGCGUUAUCCGGAAUUAUUGGGCGUAAAGGGCUCGUAGGCGGUUUGUCGCGUCGGGAGUGAAAACACCGGGCUUAACUCGGUGCUUGCUUCCGAUACGGGCAGACUAGAGGCAUGCAGGGGAGAACGGAAUUCCUGGUGUAGCGGUGAAAUGCGCAGAUAUCAGGAGGAACACCGGUGGCGAAGGCGGGUCUCUGGGCCGAUACUGACGCUGAGGAGCGAAAGCGUGGGGAGCGAACAGG